UCUUGAUAUUUGGUCGGCUCAAAUCAGUAUGUACGAUAUUUUUUUUUUUAUUUAAUUUUUUUUUGUUAGAUUUUUGAUUUGUUUUAACGGUCUCAUGUGAAUUAAUUUCAUUGCAUUGGAAUGGAACGUCGAUUACUUAGUUAGUAAUCGCAUAAGACAUUGCACAGUAACUGCGUUAUCGGUGGCAAGAGGAACCACACCGGGUUUUUUUUCUCGACGAUGAAAGGCUUCCUAACCCUACUCAUGUUCUGGGAUCUUUCUUUCUUAUUCACACGUCGAAGUAAUAAAGUCACUACCUUCAAUAAAAAGAAAAAAAAAAAAAAAAAAGGAUACAUUGUGUAAGGUAUACUUCGUUGAAGUCGAACAUAUUAUAUAUACAUUUAUAUAAACGUGAACUGACUAAAGAAGUGAUUGUAUUUGGUUUAGAGGAAUUAUCUUGUUCCACGUGAUUAGUGUCCCAGUUAAAUAUUUCCUUAGGACUGGGAACCUAAUUUGAAUCCCCUCCAAUUUUCUGGAGAAAAUUUUAAGUUGGUCCUUAUUAAGAAUAUUUGGAGCACGUGACUACCCAUGGUAUUUGGUUUAGCUGAGGUUCCAUGAUUUUUGGGACUCAAAACAUCUUUCCAUACCGAUUGUUUUACGGCAAACAUUUUUUAUUGUUUGCUGGGAUUUUUUUUUUUUUGAUAGAAUACACACUUAUUUGAUCGACAUUGCAAAUUCGGCCAAAGAGGUCAAUCAUCGAUCACCCAUAAUCAACGUGCCAUCAUAUCAACGAAGAAGAAAUCCAAAGAGCAGAAAAAACAACACUCGAAAGAAGCCCACAACGGUUUAUCGUGUCAACCAUUGGCUUAAAAUUUGUUUUGUUGAGAAAGAAGUACAUUUAUAGCUGUCUCGUUACGUCCAUCGCACAAAAAUAAUAAUGCUAUUUGAUCCAGCGAAAGCAGAAUAUAUGGAAUAAGUAGUAAAGGAAUACGCAUUUUUUGGGAGGAGUUAAAUCUAGAGGUUUGUUCCUGAAAUUUUUUUUUAUAAUAUUAAAAUUUCCGUCCUAAUUUAGAUAAAAUAGUCAUAAGAUAAUUCAUAGUUUAUAAAUUAAGCCCAACAAGCAAUCAUCGAAAAUCUUCAGCAAUCUAUGUAAUCAAAAAUUCAACUCCAUCCAACGAUUUGCAGAGGCCUCUUCAGAUUCGACGGAAAAUGGUGAGUCAAUCAUAGUGAAAUAACAUAUAUAUAUAUACCCAACAUAUUUACAUAAUUAUAGAAAAACAAACUACUUAAUAUAUUAACAGAAUUAAUUAAAAAAAUCUACUAUUGAAUUUCCUCAAAAUUUCAUUUAAACAAAAAGUUAAAUUAGCGUGGAAACUCCCAUAUUUGUACCUCUGUUCCACCAGCUUUAAAACUAUUGCUGAUUAUUUUCUUUUUGUGUGCUUCCCCAUAAAAAGGGGGGGAA